ACAGCAGUAGCCGCGGGAAUACGUAGGUGGCAAGCGUUGUCCGGAAUUAUUGGGCGUAAAGGGCUCGCAGGCGGUUUCUUAAGUCUGAUGUGAAAGCCCCCGGCUCAACCGGGGAGGGUCAUUGGAAACUGGGAAACUUGAGUGCAGAAGAGGAGAGUGGAAUUCCACGUGUAGCGGUGAAAUGCGUAGAGGUGUGGAGGAACACCAGUGGCGAAGGCGACUCUCUGGUCUGUAACUGACGCUGAGGAGCGAAAGCGUGGGGAGCGAACAGGAUUAGAUACCCGAGUAGUCCCUGUCUCUUAUAC
rnacentral:rRNA from 1 species